AUUAUGAGUUUGGUAGGAAGCUUAACGUCUUCUCUAUUUGUACUGUGACUUGUAUUUUUAUUAAGGGAACAAGACUUCUGAAAGGAACUCUGUUGGGUUUGAAGAAAGGAAAAACUAAAAAAUUUGAGAGAGAUUUAUGCUAAAACAAGUAUGAGAAAGAAAAACAUAAAUUUAUUACAAAAACAUAGGAUUUACAUAUAUAAAUUCAAAGAUUUUUUUUUUCCUUUUCUUGCUCAUUUUCUUAACUCUCUCAAACUCUCUUUCCAGC
rnacentral:misc_RNA from 1 species